rnacentral:rRNA from 1 species
GCGGCCUAUCAGCUUGUUGGUGAGGUAAUGGCUCACCAAGGCGACGACGGGUAGCCGGCCUGAGAGGGCGACCGGCCACACUGGGACUGAGACACGGCCCAGACUCCUACGGGAGGCAGCAGUGGGGAAUAUUGGGCAAUGGAGGAAACUCUGACCCAGCGACGCCGCGUGCGGGAUGAAGGCCUUCGGGUUGUAAACCGCUUUCAGCAAGGAAGAAGCGAAAGUGACGGUACUUGCAGAAGAAGCACCGGCUAACUAUGUGCCAGCAGCCGCGGUAAUACAUAGGGUGCAAGCGUUGUCCGGAAUUAUUGGGCGUAAAGAGCUCGUAGGUGGUUCGUCACGUCGGAUGUGAAAAUCCGGGGCUUAACCCCAGACCUGCAUUCGAUACGGGCGAGCUAGAGUGUGGUAGGGGAGACUGGAAUUCCU